ensembl:lncRNA
GAGUUGAUAAAUACAAGAUUUCCUGUUUGAGUCAAGUUGUGGUAUUCAGUGCUGCGAUGGGGAAAAAUCUCUGCGUUAACAACAGCUUGAAUCAAGGGCAGCCUGUUCAGGGAGCCAAGAGCCCCUUUCCAGUGACCUGUAAGAGGGGCCCCUCCUUGUUUGGGACAGCCCCCAGGGAAAGAGACGCUGCCCAACUGAACCAGCUGAUCAUCCUAGAACUAACUGCUCCCCAGACUGCCGUCCCUCCUCGCUGGGGGCCACCUCUCCUGGUCAAGUCAGCUGCUAUGACAGAUGAACACAGACUGGGCAGCUUAAACAACAGACAUUUGUUGCUCACAGGUCCCGAGGCUGGAAGCGUGAAAUUGGGGUGUCUGCAUGGCCGUGUUUUGGUGAGGGCUCUCUUCCUGACUUGUGGAUGGCUGUGUGCUUCCUGGCAUCAUGCUGUGUGCUCAAAGAUGGAGUAAAGAAGACUGCCCUCCAACGUGGGUGGAUCUCAGCCAAUUGUCCAGGACUGGAAGAGGAAAAAAAGGUGGAAGGAAGGGAAAGUUGGUUUUGUCUGCCUGGCUGUUGAGCUGGAACAUGGAUCUUCCCCUGCCCUCAGACCAGGACCCGCACCAUCAUUUCUCCUGGUUCUCAGGCUUUUGAUUUGGACUGGAACUAUGCCACCAGCUCUCCUGGGUCUCCAGCAUGUAGAUGGCAGAUCAUGGGACUUCUGGGCUUCCAUAACCACGAACUUCGAGGGCGUGCUUUCUCCGGCCAUUAUAGGACACAUUAUUGGAGUUCCGCUGCAUAUAUUUGGCCCAUGGCCCAUAUGGUGGCACAAUCAGAGAGUACAGAGGCAGGGAAUGUUCCAGACCAUGCCCAUCAACUCUGAUUUAUGCUGAACUUUUCCCUGAUACUUCAGAAAGGGUCUUCCUCACCGAGUUCACCCCUCCGAUGCUCCUAGCGACUGUGUUACAAACACUGAACUGACACUGCAUGUGUUUUUUUCCCCUAGAGAUUGAGCAAUAAUCCACUUACCACUUCUAAACAGGACACAUGUUAUUGUCACAGAAAGCUGCCCUAAGGGAUGCUGCAGAGCCGCCUAGCUUAAAAUCACCCUAUAUUCUUUCUUUCUGACGUAUGAUUUUUAGCUAUUGUUAUAUAGAUCAUGUUGAUGUAGUAAUUGCAUUUUCUCUGGUUUUUAGAACUCCUUUACAUUUGUUAAAUCAGAAAUCCCUUCCGAACAGAAGUUUUCUGUUGUAUGUGACCAGCAUCUGCAUGAUUCAACUCACAAUGGUGCUUGAGGAAGUCGAUAUUAAUCCAGUGGUUAUCGCUGGGGAGUGGGGAUCAAAUGAGGGGUAGAGAGUUUUAUUUUCUAUUUCAUAAGCUUCUGUGUUGUUCAUUUAUUGUCACCAUAAGCAGAUGUCACAUUUCUAAUAACACAUAAAGGAAAUAUUUUCACAACGUGCACAAACAGUUGCAAAGAGGGUUAAAUUGGUAAAUCCCUCAGUUAUGCAUCCCAGGGAUCAGUCCCUUUCGAGGUACAAUUUAAUGGAAUCGAAGUCUAAUUCAAUUUUUGGACUUGCUUUCUGGGAGUCCUAGUUGCUCUGUGUUAGAAUGAUUGUGAGAUCCCCUGGGAAUUGCUUUCUGAGUACAAAACUUCAGAGAGUGGGAAGGAGCUGUUCCUGCUGCUGAAGGCAUUUGUUACACAUUUUCAGAAAUGAAUUUGAAGACAUUGCAAAGGCGAUAUUCUUUUUGCCAGUGUUUGAAUGAUUUUUAAAUAACAAUCUACUGGAAGUUUUUAAAUUUGGUAUUGCUGUUUAAUAUUAAUGAGCUUCCACAGUGUUAUCUAUCAUUCAUAAUAAAAAAAAAUCUCUCUGUAUAAGGAGAUACAAAGUUAUGCCGCCAUCAGGAUGAUUUUAAGUUAAAGGGAAAAUAAUCCUACCAACCUACAGAAAGACUGUAACCCUGUCUUUGUGUAGAUUUUCUUCCAAGCAUUUUGGUCAAAAUAUUUUUUAAGCUAGCCAUGUAGAUGGGAAGAAUGCAAGUCUUCUGAGAGUCAAUGAAUAUUCUGGAAAAUGUUUCAUUCAAUGAGUACAUUAAUUAGACUCUCUUGAUUCGAGGUGACAGAAACUGAAGUAGCAUAAGUGGAAAAGGUAAUAUAUUUGCUCAUGAAACUAAGUAUGGGGUAGGGGGUAUACAUGAUGAGUUUUAGGUGUGACUUGUUCCAGGGGCUCCAGCAACGUUGUUGGGCCUCUGUCUCUCUCUCUGCUUCUCUUGGCUCUGUUUCACUUAAAUGUUGGCUUCACUCUCAGGCAUGUUUUGACUGUAUGACGGGAAAGAUCACUCCUGGCUAGUGGGUGGGAGUGCCAAACUUGUUCCAAAAGGAAGAGAAAGCCACUCUUUUUCCCACAGUCCAUAUAGCAAAACCCAGGAAAGAUUCUAAUCGAACCUAUUGAAACGACCCCUGCCAGGGAGAUGGAGUUCAUUGGUUGGCCAGGUUGCAUCACCUUCCUGCUAUGAUGGGGGUUUGGGUGGGCCUCAUGGUGAACAACCCCACCAGGACAACGUGGAGUGGAGGAGGGGUUGUUCUAAAAAGAGAAGUCAUUGGAUGGACAAACCACAGUACCCACCAUGGAAAGCCACUUCCCUGGGAUCUGAUAAAUUCAUCAGCACCUAGGGAGACUGCCUAAUGGUAAUUACAUUCAGGCACUUGAUAAUUAAGUUGAUAUUGCAUUCUCUUAACUUUCAGUUCUAGCCUAGUAGUUGUAAAAAAUUACUUAGUUAUAAAUCACUUAGAACUCUUGCCACUUUUGUUCAACACAGUGUUGGAAGUCCUAGCCAGAAGCAAUUAGGCAAGAAAAAUAAAUAAAAGACAUCCAAAUCGGAAAGAAAGAAGUAAAACUGUCACUAUUUGCAGAUGACAUAUUAUAUACAGAAAACCCUAAAGACUCUCUCAAAAAACUGUUAGAACUAGUAAACAAAUUCAGUAAAGUUGUAGGAUACAAAAUCAAUAUGCAAAAACCUGUUGUAUUUCUAUACACUAAUAACAAACAAUAUAUCAGAGAAAUAAAGAAAACAAUCCCAUUGACAAUUUCAUCAAAAAGAAUAAGAUACCUAGGAAUAAAUUUAACUAAUGCAGUGAAAGAUCUGUAUAUUAAAAACUAUAAGGCAUUAGUGAAAGAAAUUGGAGAAAAAU